GGGGAAUAUUGCACAAUGGGCGCAAGCCUGAUGCAGCAACGCCGCGUGAGGGACGACGGCCUUCGGGUUGUAAACCUCUUUUGGCAGGGAAGAAGCGAAAGUGACGGUACCUGCAGAAAAAGCACCGGCUAACUACGUGCCAGCAGCCGCGGUGAUACGUAGGGUGCAAGCGUUGUCCGGAAUUAUUGGGCGUAAAGAGCUCGUAGGCGGUUUGUCGCGUCUGCUGUGAAAACCCGAGGCUCAACCUCGGGCCUGCAGUGGGUACGGGCGAACUAGAGUGCGGUAGGGGGGAUUGGAAUUCCUGGUGUAGCGGUGGAAUGCGCAGAUAUCAGGAGGAACACCGAUGGCGAAGGCAGAUCUCUGGGCCGUAAC
rnacentral:rRNA from 1 species